GCCAAAUGGCCAUUUUUUGCAUCACUGAUCACAUUUGUUACUCUGAAAUCAAAAGGGAAAUGCUUGUUUUUCAUGAAGGAGUUUGAUUCCAACUAAAUCUUCUUCACCAUUUUUUAACUUGUACAUUCACUUUCACAGACACACUCAAAUCAUUUUAAACAAUUUCUUUUAGCACUGAAGAUGUCAGAUGUCUGGGAACAGGCAACACUGUGAGAUUCUGCCUCUGAACUGGGAACAGUUGAUUCUUCUUAUAUAGCAAACUAUAUUCGUACCAAAACACAGAAUUUAUGCCAUUGUUUUCUAUGUAGGAUGCAUGGCAUCUGAUCUACAAUGACAGGGAAAAAAAGAUCUCAAAUAUCUGCAGUAUAUUUUACUGAAUGUUAAUAGCAGGUUCAGAUGCAUUUCAUUUUUGACCUUGUGAAAUGCUUUCUUGCUUAUGCAAUGCUUUAUACAUCAAAUGCACAAACUGCUACGAGAGCUCCAGCUGCUUACACAAGGAUAAUUUUGAGACAGCAAAUCUUGUUCAGAACUCAACUACAGUGAUAGUUAAGAAGAAAAUAUAUCAUCAAACAUUCAUGAAGUGAAUUGUAAGGCAAGGCAGAUUUAUAAGCACUUCAUAUCCUCUGGGAUAUAGAAUCAAGUUGACUCUCUAUGAGGAAGAAUAUGAUCACGCACUUUCAAGUUUCCUGCC
rnacentral:lncRNA from 1 species